GAUGAACGCUGGCGGCGUGCUUAACACAUGCAAGUCGAACGAUGAAGCCCAGCUUGCUGGGUGGAUUAGUGGCGAACGGGCGAGUAACACGUGAGUAACCUGCCCUUGACUCUGGGAUAAGCGCUGGAAACGGCGUCUAAUACCGGAUACGAGCUUCCACCGCAUGGUGAGUUGCUGGAAAGAAUUUCGGUCAAGGAUGGACUCGCGGCCUAUCAAGUAGUUGGUGAGGUAACGGCUCACCAAGCCGACGACGGGUAGCCGGCCUGAGAGGGUGACCGGCCACACUGGGACUGAGACACGGCCCAGACUCCUACGGGAGGCAGCAGUGGGGAAUAUUGCACAAUGGGCGCAAGCCUGAUGCAGCAACGCCGCGUGAGGGACGAAGGCCUUCGGGUCGUAAACCUCUUUUAGCAGGGAAGAAGCGAAAGUGACGGUACCUGCAGAAAAAGCACCGGCUAACUACGUG
rnacentral:rRNA from 1 species